rnacentral:rRNA from 1 species
GACGAACGCUGGCGGCGUGCCUAAUACAUGCAAGUCGAACGCAGUGGGGACGGGUGAGUAACACGUGGGUAACCUCCCAUCAGAGGGGAGAACACUUGGAUACAGGUGCUAAACCGAUACUGAUGGAUGGACUCGCGGUGCAUUAGCCAGUUGGUGAGGUAACGGCGAACCAAGGCCACGAUGCAUAGCCGACCUGAGAGGGUGAUCGGCCACACUGGGACUGAGACACGGCCCAGACUCCUACGGGAGGCAGCAGUAGGGAAGCUUCGGCAAGGGGCGAAAGUCUGACCUAGCAACGCCGCGUGAGUGAAGAAGGUUUUCGGAUCGGAAAGCACUGUUGUUAGAGAAGCGGUAUCUAACCAGAAAGCAACGGCUAACUACGUGCCAGCACCCGCGUUAAUAC